rnacentral:rRNA from 1 species
GUUGAUCCUGCGGGAGGUUGCUGCUAUUAGGAUUCGACAAAGCCAUGCAAGUCAGGUAGUAAUACCGGCGACAUGCUCAGUAACACGUCGAUAAUUUGCCCUUGGGUCAGGGAUAACCUCGGGAAACUGAGGGUAAUACCUGAUAGGAAAGAUGCUCUGGAAAACAGCUUUUUCCCAAACUCGUGCCCAAGGAUAAGUUGGCGGCCGAUUAGGCAGUUGGCGGUGUAAAGGACCACCAAACCUAUGAUCGGUAGGAGCCUUGAAAGAGGUAGCUCCGAGAAGGACACUGAGAUACUGGUCCUAGCCCUACGGGGUGCAGCAGGCGCGAAAAUUUUACAAUGCACGAAAGUGUGAUAAGGGGAUCCUAAGUGCUUGCACACAGUGCAGGCUUUUUUCAAGAGUAAAUAUCUUGGAGAAUAAGUGGUGGGCAAGACUGGUGCCAGCCGCCGCGGUAACACCAGCGCCACGAGUGGCAGCCGUGUAUUUGGCCUAAAGCGUCCGUAGCUGGUCGGGUAAAUUCUUUGUGAAAUCGUUGCUGUAAUCGUAACGACGUGCAGGGAACACUGCCUGACUCGAGACCGGGAGGAGUAAGAGGUAUUUCGGGGGGAGCGGUAAAAUGUUAUAAUCCCCGAAAGACCACCUGUGGCGAAGGCGUCUUACUAGAACGGAUCUGACAGUGAGGGACGAAAGCCAGGGGAGCGAACCGGAUUAGAUACCCGAGUAGUCCUGGCUGUAAACGCUGCGAGCUGGGUGUUGCACAUUCUACGGGAAUGUGCAGUGUCGGAAUGAAGAUGCUAAGCUCGCCGCCUGGGAAGUACGGUCGCAAGACUGAAACUUAAAGGAAUUGGCGGGGAGACACUACAAGGGGUGCGGCGUGCGGUUUAAUCUAACUCAACGCAGAGAACCUCACUAGUGGCGACGGCAGGAUGAAGGUCAGUCUGAAGGGCUUACCUAACGAGCCGAGAGGUAGUGCAUGGCCGCCGUCAGCUCGUGCUGUAAAGUGUCCAGUUAAGUCUGGCAACGAGCAAGACCUGUAUCUGCAAUUGCCACCAACCGAACUUCGGGAUUGAGUACAUUGCAGGGACUGCCCUGGAAACAGGGAGGAAGGUGCAGGCAACGGUAGGUCUGUAUGCUCCGAAUCCACUAGGCUACACGCGCGCAACAAUGGUAGAGACAAUGGGCUGCAACUCCGAAAGGAGAAGCUAAUCCUCGAAACUCUAUCCUGGUCCAGAUUGAGGAUUGCAACUCAUCCUCAUGACGUCGGAAUCCCUAGUAAUCAGACUUCAUCAUAUUCUGGUGAAUACGUCCCUGUCUCUUGCACACACCGCCCGUCAAACCAACCGAGCAGGGUCUAGAUGAGACUUAACUUUUUGGUUACUUCAAAUCUAGGCUCAGUGAGGUGGGUUAAGUCGUCACAAGGUA